GUCCAGGGUAGCUUAGGGGUCAUGGCAUCUGCCCGGUAAGCGGAAGGUCGUGGGUUCGAUUCCCAUCCCUUGACA